rnacentral:rRNA from 1 species
CCUGGCGGCUAUAACGCGAUAGUACCACCUGAAACCAUGCCGAACUCAGAAGUGAAAUGUCGUGGUGCCAAUGGUAGUGUGGAGUUUCUCCAUGUGAGAGUAGGAAACUGCCAGGC